rnacentral:rRNA from 1 species
CCUACGGGCGGCAGCAGUGAGGAAUAUUGGUCAAUGGACGAGAGUCUGAACCAGCCAAGUAGCGUGAAGGAUGACUGCCCUAUGGGUUGUAAACUUCUUUUAUAAAGGAAUAAAACGAGGCACGUGUGCCUUUUUGCAUGUACUUUAUGAAUAAGGAUCGGCUAACUCCGUGCCAGCAGCCGCGGUAAUACGGAGGAUCCGAGCGUUAUCCGGAUUUAUUGGGUUUAAAGGGAGCGUAGAUGGGUUGUUAAGUCAGUUGUGAAAGUUUGCGGCUCAACCGUAAAAUUGCAAUUGAUACUGGCAGUCGUGAGUACAGUUGAGGUAGGCGGAAUUCGUGGUGUAGCGGUGAAAUGCUUAGAUAGCACGAAGAACUCCGAUUGCGAAGGCAGCUUACUAAACUGCCACUGACAUUGAUGCUCGAAAGUGUGGGUAUCAAACAGGAUUAGAUACCCUUGUAGUC